ensembl:lncRNA novel transcript
ACAGAUGCUUUUACAGCUCGCCUUGGCGGGAAGAUCUGGCACAAAUGAAGUAUCUAUAAGGAGCAGCAGAGUCAAGGGUCUUCAUGUUGCAGAACUCACGGAGUUGGAUUCUAUGUGAAUUGUAAAUCGGGUACAAGGUGCAUAAUGCCCUAUUUACCU